AUUAUUACAAUACUAUCGUAUUUGUGGUUGAGAAGGAACGAGCAACCAAUGUAUGAACAGACACAUGUUAGGAAGCUACUGGUUCUUGGUCUGCUUGCCUUCUUGGCCGAGGUAAUUCUAACCCACAACAAUAUGCGUAUUCAAAUGGCAAACAAUUCUAACACGCCUUUAAAGAAUAGAGAAAAUAGAUCAAAUUUUAGUGUUCCUAUAAAUCAAAGUUAUGAAAUAAAAAUAAGAACACAACAAAUCUUGUAAGCCUCAGAUAGCAGUCUACUUGACAUCAAGAAAAUUCAGCCGGUAAUUCCAACUAAAAGAACAAAUCAUCAUUGGCUUUUGAAAUCAAU